GACGAACGCUGGCGGCGUGCCUAAUACAUGCAAGUAGAACGCUGAAGGAAGGAGCUUGCUCUUUCCGGAUGAGUUGCGAACGGGUGAGUAACGCGUAGGUAACCUGCCUGGUAGCGGGGGAUAACUAUUGGAAACGAUAGCUAAUACCGCAUAAUAGCAGUUAUUGCAUGAUAACUGUUUGAAAGGUGCAAAUGCAUCACUACCAGAUGGACCUGCGUUGUAUUAGCUAGUUGGUGGGGUAACGGCUCACCAAGGCGACGAUACAUAGCCGACCUGAGAGGGUGAUCGGCCACACUGGGACUGAGACACGGCCCAGACUCCUACGGGAGGCAGCAGUAGGGAAUCUUCGGCAAUGGACGGAAGUCUGACCGAGCAACGCCGCGUGAGUGAAGAAGGUUUUCGGAUCGUAAAGCUCUGUUGUAAGAGAAGAACGAGUGUGAGAGUGGAAAGUUCACACUGUGACGGUAUCUUACCAGAAAGGGACGG
rnacentral:rRNA from 1 species